GUCCGAGAAAGAAUUUUAGUUCAACCUUAAAAAUACCCCAAAAACCCUAAAUUCCAAUGUAUUUUUAAGAGAUAGUCUAAAAAGGUACAGCUUUUUAGAAACGGAUACAACCUUGACUAGAGAGUAAAAUCUUAAUACUACCAUAGUAGGCCUAAAAGCAGCCAUCAAUUGAGAAAGCGUUAAAGCUCAACAAAUUCACCAACAUAAUCCCAAAAACUAAUAACAAACUCCUAGCCCAAUACCGGACUAAUCUAUUGAAACAUAGAAGCAAUAAUGUUAAUAUGAGUAACAAGAAGCCUUUCUCCUCGCACACGCUUACAUCAGUAACUAAUAAUAUACUGAUAAUUAACAACCAAUAAACCAAAACAACACUAAAACGUUUAUUAAUUACAUUGUUAACCCAACACAGGAGUGCACCAAGGAAAGAUUAAAAGAAGUAAAAGGAACUCGGCAAACACAAACCCCGCCUGUUUACCAAAAACAUCACCUCUAGCAUUACUAGUAUUAGAGGCAAUGCCUGCCCAGUGACACCAGUUUAACGGCCGCGGUAUUCUGACCGUGCAAAGGUAGCAUAAUCACUUGUUCUCCAAAUAAGGACUUGUAUGAAUGGCCACACGAGGGUUUUACUGUCUCUUACUUCCAAUCAGUGAAAUUAACCUUCCCGUGAAGAGGCGGGAAUAAAAAAAUAAGACGAGAAGACCCUAUGGAGCUUUAAUUAACUAUUCCAAAAGUUAAACAACUCAACCACAAAGGGAUAAAACAUAACUUAACAUGGACUAGCAAUUUCGGUUGGGGUGACCUCGGAGUACAAAAAACCCUCCGAGUGAUUUUAAUCUAGACAAACCAGUCAAAAUAACCAUAACAUCACUUAUUGAUCCAAAAUUUUGAUCAACGGAACAAGUUACCCUAGGGAUAACAGCGCAAUCCUGUUCUAGAGUUCCUAUCGACAAUAGGGUUUACGACCUCGAUGUUGGAUCAGGACACCCAAAUGGUGCAACCGCUAUUAAAGGUUCGUUUGUUCAACGAUUAAAG
rnacentral:rRNA from 1 species